ACCGUGUCUGUAGGUGCGGCGGGCACCGGCGGGGCAGCGGGGGCAUGCAGCGCGGGCUAUAGGAGCUGGGCACCCACAGUGCAGGCGGUAGGGGCCGGGCACCCACAGUGCAGGCGGUAGGGGCCGGGCACGCCCGGUGCAGGCUGCAGGAGCUGGACGCUUCGCCGUGCGGGGUACCGGGGCCUGAAGGCGCGGUCUCUGAGGGACGUACGUUGCCCUGUCCCCGCUCUCCCUGUCGCUGUGCCCGCGGCUCCGGUCAUGGGAGAAACUGUUCCCUCGACUGUUCCGGCAUGGUGCAUUCCUAAGAUUGGCUUCUUUAUAUUGGGUGGGAGUUAUUUAGAAGCUUGCUGGGAGGAACUGUUUGCUGCAUUUUUGCAGGAGCGCCCAGGACAUAACCGGUGUUUCCCAUGACAAACGGUGUGAAUAUUGUCCCAGACUGGUGCUGGAUCUGGCCCUCGCUUCCCCACAUGGAGCACAAAUAUUGAUGCCGCCUCCAGACUCACGUGACGAUUUUUGGGGUUUACCAUCCACGGGGUAAGGUCUGCUGCUUCUUAAGGUAUCGUAUUGCACGUAGAAAUCCACAAAUCUUUAUUAAGAUUCGUCAGCUCCAGCUGUGUGUCUGUAUCUACCUUUGUUUUUUAGGUAAUUUGUGCUGUACACUUUCACCACAUGAUUGCUCUUAUUGUAUGCGGUUCCUUCUGUUGGGCACUUCUCUGUUGACUACGAUUACUACUGCAUCAACUGAAAAUGCUCCUGUACUAUAUAAUUAACUUUAUCUGCUUUGCUACAAUGCUCCUCACUGGUAAUUACACACACUUCAGCUCUUUCACUCCAUUUCUAAGACUUUAAGAAGUGCUGAUUACUCUUGCCCAGUCUCUGGCCAAACUGGAGGGUUUUUACAUGUCUACAAUUAUAUCUUUUUCCUUGCAACAACUGUGCUGUAAUCUGGAUAUUGAUUAUAGUACACACAACGUGAUCUUUAAAUAAACCAUCUGUUU